rnacentral:rRNA from 1 species
UACGUAGGGUGCGAGCGUUAAUCGGAAUUACUGGGCGUAAAGUGUGCGCAGGCGGCCAUGCAAGUCGAGUGUGAAAGCCCCGAGCUUAACUUGGGAAUUGCGCUCGAAACUACGUGGCUGGAGUGUGGCAGAGGAAGGUGGAAUUCCACGUGUAGCGGUGAAAUGCGUAGAUAUCGGGAGGAACACCUGUGGCGAAAGCGGCGCACUGGACCACAUCUGACGCUGAGGCGCGAAAGCUAGGGGAGCGAACAGG